AAUUAACCUGAGCAUUAGGGUGGUUCCGGAUUUUAAGAUUUUUAAAAUUCAAGCGGACCUGUGACAAGUCCUUGGGCAAUCGAUUCCAUUUAAGUUUGGUUGGAAAUUCAUUUGGUGCCUGGGAUGGGGAUUAAAAAUGAAAUCUUCAAAAAAAAAA